GAUGAACGCUGGCGGCGUGCCUAAUACAUGCAAGUCGAGCGAACGGACGAGAAGCUUGCUUCUCUGAUGUUAGCGGCGGACGGGUGAGUAACACGUGGAUAACCUACCUAUAAGACUGGGAUAACUUCGGGAAACCGGAGCUAAUACCGGAUAAUAUUUUUAACCGCAUGGUUCAAAAGUGAAAGACGGUCUUGCUGUCACUUAUAGAUGGAUCCUCGCUGCAUUAGCUAGUUGGUAAGGUCACGGCUUACCAAGGCAACGAUGCAUAGCCGACCUGAGAGGGUGAUCGGCCACACUGGAACUGAGACGCGGUCCAGACUCCUACGGGAGGCAGCAGUAGGGAAUCGUACGCAAUGGGCGAAAGCCUGACGGAGCAACGCCGCGUGAGUGAUGAAGGUCUUCGGAUCGUAAAACUCUGUUAUUAGGGAAGAACAUAUGUGUAAGUAACUGUGCACAUCUUGACGGUACCUAAUCAGAAAGCCACGGCUAACUACGUG
rnacentral:rRNA from 1 species